UGGGGGUUAGUUUAAUGGGUAAAACAUUGGAUCUUGGUUUCAAUGAUACAGGUUCGAGUCCUGUACCCCUAU
rnacentral:tRNA from 1 species